GCUAGAAUAGCUCAAUUGGAUAGAGCGUGUGACCCUUAACCAUAAGGUCGGAGGUUCAAGUCGUCCUCCUUCUAGCA